rnacentral:rRNA from 1 species
GACGAACGCUGGCGGCGUGCUUAACACAUGCAAGUCGAACGGUGAAGCGCCUUCCUUUUUGGUGGGUGUGGAUGAGUGGCGAACGGGUGAGUAACACGUGAGUAACCUGCCCCUUUCUUCUGGAUAACCGCAUGAAAGUGUGGCUAAUACGGGAUAUUCUGGGUCUGUCGCAUGAUGGGUCUGGGAAAGAUAUUGUUUCGGUGGGGGAUGGGCUCGCGGCCUAUCAGCUUGUUGGUGGGGUGAUGGCCUACCAAGGCGGUGACGAGUAGCCGGCCUGAGAGGGUCGGCGGUCACACUGGGAAGGCGACACGGCGCAGACUACGAGGGGCAGCAGCAGUGGGGAAUAUUGAACAGUGGGCGGCAGCAUGAUGCAGCGACGCGGCGGGAGAGAUGGAGGCCGUCUGGUUAUGAACCUCUUUCGCCAGUGAAGCAGGCCUGCCUCGUUUGUGGGUGGGUUGACGGUAGCUGGAGAAGAAGCGCCGGCUAACUACGUG